rnacentral:lncRNA from 1 species
AUAGACCUGGCAGUCUGUGAAAUAAAUGACAAUGAUGGUGACAAAGCCAGAUGUGAGCCAUUUGGGCCACAUCAGUGGACUCCAGAAGGUCAGGAGGAAGGGCAGGAGCAGCGGGGGGUGGGCUUGCUCCAGGACGUGGUGAGCUUGGAGCUGCUUCUCAGAGAUAAGGAGAGAGGUGGAAGAAGAACUGCAGCUGGAGAGAAACAGCCUCCGCUCUAGUUCAAGCCCAGACGUGAGUUCUUAGAAAAGUCAAGAAUGUAUUUCUCUCCAGGGUAUUCACUGCAGGAGAGGUGGGUCAAACGGGUUUGCCCUUGUCACCAGCUGUAGAAACAGAAGAGGACGUCCCCCUCUCCUGCCUGCUCAGGGAGCAGAAAGGCCUGGGUGACCUUGACUCUUGAGUACAUUGCCCUUUGGCAGCUCCCAGGACCUGAGUGCCCCACAGCUCGGGCCGUCUUGAAGCCAAGAAUUAAGGAGUGGACCCUCCAGGGCUCACCUCCUCCCAGCCCUGCCUUAUAACACCCCAGUGACCCUGGCAUGUGCAGCCACAGCAGGAGCCAGGAGCCAGCGUUCCUUGGGGUUCAGGACCUCCGGGCAGCACAGAUGGGGCCAAGAGCCAUCACCUUCCCUUCUGAGUGACCACGUGUGUGCUGUACAGCCGAGGACGGACCUGAGCCGGGCAUCAGGGCUUUCUAGGGGCUUCCAGCUGCUCUCCAGCUGCAAGCCAACAUCAGGAGGAUGGACUGGGGACCUGGAGUCCAAGGCUGGCCCUCUGCUGGGCAGCACCCCCGCAACACGCCUGGAGCCAGGAGAGGGGGAGAAGGAUCCCUUCUCAGGGAGGCUGGUGAUGAGGGCCUUUGCCUCGUUGCUGGUUCUCAAGCAUCAGGGAGACAAAGCUCAGCUGAUGUCCCAGCCUGUCAACUCCACCAGCCCAGCAGUGACCACCCAGACGGCUGCCCAAGGUCGAAGAGUCAGGGGAUGAAGGAAGCUGCUGGGAUUGACGGGGCAGUCGAGGCAUAGUGACUGAGGGCUCUGUCCCUGUGGAUGGGACAGUGCUGAGGGGAGGCCUGGGAGUGGGGACUACCCCUCCAUAGCUCCAAAGAGCUCUUCGAUGUCUGGCUCUCCUUGAAAACAGAAGAGCAGGCCCUUCCUCCAGCCUGGAACCAUCAGACAAAGGGAAAGGGCUUGGGGGGUGGGGUGGGGACGUCUUUGCCCUGUAGUCCGUCUGGGACAGAAGAGUAGUGCUCCUGCCCCGUUGGCCCCAUAUCCCAGAAAAGACCUGAAGAACAAGAAGUGGGGCUGGAUGCCAGCAGGGGACAGCCACGUCGCCUGGCUGGCUGCUGGGGAGGAAGGGAAGUUUGAGGAUGCCGGAUGGGUGAGAGGCUGGCAGAGACCACGCCGAGGGUCAGGGACAGAAAGGUGCUCCGAGAGGCUGCUUUAAAGAUCACCCUGCGGGGGAAGGGAUUAUCCCGAGUGUCCUUGGCUCCUGGCAGGCCAGCUCCGGGGGAGGGUAAAGAAGUUGGCACUUAUCUGGCUCCUCUUGGCCAGGCCUGCUCCCUAUAUCAUCUCUAUUCCUGCAACAAUAGAGACACUUGCAAGGUAGGUGUUGUCAUCCCAUUUUUCAGAUGGGAAAAGGGGACUUGGGGAGGUAAACUUCCCCAGCAUCACACAGUCCCUAGUGAAGAGUCAGGAUGCAGAAGAAUUUAAGUGUGGGUGCAUCUGCCUGCAGGGGCCCCAGGCCCUGCUCUCAGAGAGGUGUGGGGGGCGAGAUCCCCCUUGGACUUCUCUCCAGGGGAUCAUGGGUCAUGAUCCGGUUUGAAGGAGCCAGGGUUUCCCUGGAAGAAAGUAGGGUGUCUCUGAGGGAGGGGUUCCAUGUCCCUGGGGUCAGCCAAGGAGAAGGAAGGACUUGGCUGUGAUUGAGCUGGAACAGGCAGGACCCUUUAGGUCCAAGAAACCUCCUGGACUCUUUACAUCUGGCUUCCCCUAAAAGGACAAAUGGAGCACUUUUAUGAAAAUUGCUGAAGGGCUUUGGGUGAAGCACUGGGGUCGGGGGCUGGGGUGGGGGCAGGGAUGGGGAACUCAAGAAGGACUCUAGGGGAGAAGUCAGCAGGUGUGGGGGUGGUGCUGGCCACCUGCUGUCUCUCUGUGGGCACAAACUAGCUUUUGCUACUUAUCAUAGGGCAGGCGACUUCAUGGGAAGAGGCUGCAUUAGGCAAGUUCUCCGUCUGUCUGUGCCACUGGUAAAAUUCUUUUCACCUCUGGAACUGAAUUCAUUUAUUUAACAACAUGGGGUUCCACCGAGUGCCGGGCCCUGAUCUAGGCCCUGGGGAUCUAGGGGUGAACAUAACCCAAAUCCUUGUUUUCCUGAAGCUUAAAUUUUCAUUGGGAGAGAAAUGAGAUAGGGAAAGGAAGGAAGGAAAGGUAAGGAAAAUAUUUUUCAGAUAUAAUAAGUGCUACAAAGAAAAGCUAAGGAGGAAUUGGAAAUGUUGCGUAGUGUGUAAAAUUUAGACUGGGAGGCAAGGGAGAGUCUUUGGAGUUCAGGAAGAAAGACCUGAACUUUAAGUUUAGUUAAGAAGUUCUCUGGGAGUUCCUCUUGUGGCGCAGAGGAAACGAAUCCAACAAGGAAUGAUGAGGUUGCAGGUUCAAUCCCUGGCCUCGCUCAGUGGGUUAAGGAUCUGGCGUUGCUGUGAGCUGUGGUGUAGGUUGCAGGUGUGGCUCAUACCUGGUGUGGCUGUGGCUGUAGUGUAGGCCGGCAGCUGUAGCUCUGAUUUGACACCUAGCCUGGGAACCUCCAUGUGCUGCGGGUUCAGCCCUAAAAAGCAAAAAAAAAGUAGUAGUUCUCUGGAUAGAGUUCCCAUCAUGGCUCAGUGAUAAUGAGCCCAACUAGUAUCCAUGAGAACAUGGGUCUGAACUCUUGCUCAGUGGGUUAAGGAUCUGGCGUUGCUGUGACUGUGGUGUAGGCCAGCUGAUACUGCUCCAAUUUGACCCCUAGCCUGGGAACCUCCAUAUGCUGUGGGUGC